rnacentral:rRNA from 1 species
UACAGAGGUCCCGAGCGUUGUUCGGAUUUAUUGGGCGUAAAGGGUGCGUAGGCGGCGGAGUAAGUUGGGUGUGAAAUCCCGGGGCUCAACCUCGGAAUGGCAUUCAAUACUGCUUCGCUAGAGUACUGGAGAGGAGGCUGGAAUUUACGGUGUAGCAGUGAAAUGCGUAGAUAUCGUCAAGAACACCAAUAGUGAAGACAGCUUACUGGGCUUAAACUGACGCUGAGGCACGAAAGUGUGGGGAUCAAACAGG